rnacentral:rRNA from 1 species
GACGUAGGGGGCGAGCGUUAUUCGGAAUCAUUGGGCGUAAAGCGCUCGUAGGCGGGCAGCCAAGUCCGGGGUGAAAUCUUUCGGCUCAACCGGAAAAUUGCCUUGGAUACUGGUUGUCUUGAGGGAGGUAGGGGCAUGUGGAACUUCCGGUGGAGCGGUGAAAUGCGUUGAUAUCGGAAGGAACGCCGGUGGCGAAAGCGACGUGCUGGACCUUCUCUGACGCUGAGGCGCGAAAGCUAGGGGAGCGAACGGG